rnacentral:rRNA from 1 species
UACGUAGGGUGCAAGCGUUAAUCGGAAUUACUGGGCGUAAAGGGCGCGUAGGCGGCCUUCUAAGUCAGACGUGAAAUCCCCCGGCUUAACCUGGGAACUGCGUCUGAUACUGGGGGGCUUGAGUAUGGGAGAGGGAUGUAGAAUUCCAGGUGUAGCGGUGAAAUGCGUAGAUAUCUGGAGGAAUACCGGUGGCGAAGGCGGCAUCCUGGACCAUUACUGACGCUGAGGCGCGAAAGCUAGGGGAGCAAACGGG